CCGGUACAAAAUAAAACUUCUCGCAAAGAAACCAUCAUACUCCUAAAAGAAUCUCCCAAGAACAAUACAACCUGAUCACCACUUUUGAAAUAUGCUUGGUGGAGCGAGGGCACGUUUGGUGAUAGCAUACACAAAUAGAUUUUUUGCACCUGAAACAGCAUUGCUGCUUUAUUUGUCAUUUAAAAUCUGAGACAAAGAAGAUGUGAACCCAAGAACUCAAAACAGCAUAAAAAGCGAGCACGUUGUUUGGGCGAGCCAUGAUGGCUGUCGAAAGAGUUUGAGCCGUGACGUCAUCGCAGCGCUACCCUUAUUCUGAGGGCUAAUAUGAAAGCACAAAAACAAAGUGGUUUCUCAGCACUUUUUGAAAAUCACUUGGAUUCUUGUAAGACCUUAGAAUUUGUUUCUUAGUGGUAAACAAGCAGAGUGCUGCCUCAUGUCUUAUGUCUUUUGCUGUCAGGACUUUCUCGCAACCCAGUUGAUGGUGCAAACCACAGAGACCAAAAUCCUGCGUGGCCGUGACGGACGAGAAAGGAAAGUGGAAUAUAGCUUGGAUGACAAGGGGAAGAAAAGGAGGAAGAAAUUAAGAUUGCCUGCUGAAGAGCAAGUGGGAAAAAAAACGUCGCAUGCAUGCUAGAGUAGCACUUCACAUUGACUGUGCUCCCAGUACAUGUUCAUUUCAUUUGUAAAAGGGCCCCGCCACGGUGGUCUAG